GAUUAACGCGAAGAACCUUACCUACCCUUGACAUGGUCGGAAUCCCGCUGAGAGGUGGGAGUGCUCGAAAGAGAACCGGCGCACAGGUGCUGCAUGGCUGUCGCCAGCUCGUGUCGUGAAAUGUUGGGUUAAGUCCCGCAGCGAGCGCAACCCUUGUCCUUAGUUGCUACGCAAGAGCACUCUAAGGAGACUGCCGGUGACAAACCGGAGGAAGGUGGGGAUGACGUCAAGUCCUCAUGGCCCUUAUGGGUAGGGCUUCACACGUCAUACAAUGGUCGGAACAGAGGGUUGCCAACCCGCGAGGGGGAGCUAAUCCCAGAAAACCGAUCGUAGUCCGGAUUGCACUCUGCAACUCGAGUGCAUGAAGCUGGAAUCGCUAGUAAUCGCGGAUCAGCAUGCCGCGGUGAAUACGUUCCCGGGCCUUGUACACACCGAAUC
rnacentral:rRNA from 1 species